AGAACGAACGCUGGCGGCAGGCCUAACACAUGCAAGUCGAGCGGACAUUUUCGGAUGUCAGCGGCGGACGGGUGAGUAACGCGUGGGAACGUGCCCUUUGGUUCGGAAUAGCCCUGGGAAACUGGGAGUAAUACCGGAUAUUCUCUUUGGAGGAAAGAUUUAUCGCCAAGGGAUCGGCCCGCGUUGGAUUAGGUAGUUGGUGGGGUAAUGGCCUACCAAGCCGACGAUCCAUAGCUGGUUUGAGAGGAUGAUCAGCCACACUGGGACUGAGACACGGCCAGACUCCUACGGGAGCAGCAGUGGGGAAU
rnacentral:rRNA from 1 species